AUUUUCACAUUUUAAUAAGAUUAUAAAGGUCUAGAAAAUGACUUAAUUUUCUCUUUGACCAUGAAAAUAUUUUCCUUUAUUUUCCUAAAUACCUCAAAUGUUAGAAAAUGCCAAAAAUAUUUUUCAGAAAAAUAUUUUUUACUAAACAAACGGAGCUUAAAAUGUAUUGUGACCUGAAUUGCAAGAAUUUAUUUGCAAAAUAAACAUCAAGAAAAUGUGCACUGCACAUUCUCAUAUUUUAUCAUUUGCCAUUGUCCUAAUCAACUUGAUAGCACAUUAAAAUAAUAAAUGCCACUGAAUAACACUUGGCUGCUGUCUGGUUUGCAGAAUCUAUUUCAUCGGUUAGAAUCACUUGGAAUGUCAUGUCAGGUAUCAAAUUAUUAUUAUUGAGCUCGGUUAAUAACAAAAGAUUGCAAGCAAUGUAUAUUUAGUUAGACGUUAUAUCUUUAAAUUUAAGAUUGUUAAACUCUUACUUUUAAAACAUUUUUUUUCCUAAUUCCAUUUGAAUUCAUCAUAUUACACUAAAGAGAGUAUGACCAAAAGUCUCUUAAAAUUUGCAAUUCAAUUUUUGGUAAAUUAUUAUUUCGUCUCUUUAGUUUGGAACUUAGAUGAGUUCGUCCCUACACUUUGUUUUCACUAAUGAGUUAGUUCUUUUGUCUAUAUUAGUCAUUAGAUAUAUUAAAAAAAUAUUAUAACCCUCAUAAUCACACCAAAUUUACAAAAUUUACCCUGUGUGUGUGUGUGUCCCCACCCUUAUAAUGUAAGCACAAAUAAGACUAGUAAUGAGCAAUUUUAGAAAUAAAAGGACUUGAUCGUUAAAAUUUAUGUUAAAAAAAAAACCUUUUAAGACUUAACUGUAAAAACAGUAUUUCUAUUUUUUUAGAUAUUAUUCCAUAAUUG
rnacentral:misc_RNA from 1 species